GACGAACGCUGGCGGCGUGCCUAACACAUGCAAGUCGAACGAAGAAUGUUUUUCGGAAUAUUCUUAGUGGCGGACGGGUGAGUAACGCGUGAACAAUCUGCCCCGUACAAAGGGAUAGCCUCGGGAAACCGGGAUUAAAACCAUAUAACACUUAACUGCCGCAUGGUAGUGAAGUCAAAUCGAUUAAGAGGUAUGGGAUGAGUUCGCGUCUGAUUAGCUAGUUGGUGAGGUAAGGGCUCACCAAGGCGACGAUCAGUAGCCGGCCUGAGAGGGUGAACGGCCACACUGGAACUGAGACACGGUCCAGACUCCUACGGGAGGCAGCAGUGGGGAAUAUUGCACAAUGGAGGGAACUCUGAUGCAGCGACGCCGCGUGAGUGAAGAAAGGUCUUCGGAUCGUAAAACUCUGUCCUUGGUGAAGAAAAGGACGGUAGCCAAGGAGGAAGCCCCGGCUAACUAACGUG
rnacentral:rRNA from 1 species